AUCUAAAGGAAAAAAAGGAAAAUUGAAGGGAAAACUGUGUAUAAAAUCAGUGAGUCAAAAAGAUAAACACUAAGCUGAAGCACUGAAUAUUCAAUUCUUUUUUUUUACAAAUACAGAAGCUGGCAUUUUAAUUAACAGAGGAAUUAGAUAAUUCUGACUUCAAAGAAGGUGAAGAUGGAACAGAUAUACAAAAUCAACUACAAAAGCCUGGUGUUCACCGCCAUCCAUAGAAAAGUUGGUGAUUAAGCUUCACCUUGACUCUAAUUUGAAUAUUUUUAUGAGAUAUGCUUGUAUAUUUUCUCUGCAUUACACGUAUUUAGAAGCCACAGAAUGGAAUGAUUUUGAAGAGAAGACAAUGGGCCACGUUCAAGACAGAUACAUGGAAUGCAAUCAGAAAGUCCAGGAAUUUCUGAGGAAUUUAGAGGAACUGUGCAAGAAGCUCCAAAUGAAGUUAGAAUGCUGCUUUCACAGUUCACUACCUUUUGAACAUCUGCAAUACACAUCUCUUCUCACCAGAAUGACUUUCACUGUUCUGCACAACACUGACCAGAAUGGUGCAAAUUGCAGGAUGAAACACUGUCUAAGGGGAUGUAAACAAGAGAUUGCAAGGAAACUCAAAAAGAUUUUGUUGUAGCUGUCACUAAAAAUGAUGUUAGCAUACAGAGAAAGAGCAUGAUGUCUUUUGUUUAUCAAGCUUAUAUUACAAUAAGGUUUCUUACUAUAUUGAUAUUAUAUAUCUACAGAAUUUAAGCCCAGUGCAGACUCAGAAGAAGUUAAGAAAAAAGCUUUAGCUUUCUGGUCUCAUUGUUAGAUGAAAUUUUUGUUUAUAUAUGAAUAGGUAUAUGUAUUUACAUACCCAAUCAGAUCCCAACAAGAGUACAAGACAGUCUUCAUGUCUGUUUUGCUUAUAUAUUUCUUUUUUUUAGUACAAAGUCCAAUUUCAGUUUUACACACUGUCCUAGUACCAUUGAAAUGAAUGUUUGUAAUAAGAGGCACAAUUACAGCACUCAUUAAGACAAGAGUGUUGUUUCAGUGACUUUUUGUUCUAUGUCUUAAUGCCUGGCUGACUCUGAUGGUUUCUGGACUGUGGUUUUUAUUAAUACCUCCUUGAAUGGAUCUCUCCUUAGUGUUGGGUUUUUAAACAGAGCAAUCUAUGAAAAUAAUGAUAAAAUAUCCAAGAAAACAGUUCACUAAUAAUGGCAGAAAUAUUAACUGUCCACAAAGAGAUUAGUUGUUUUCUGCAAAGCAAACAGCUGAUAUUUUCAAAAUAUCUGAUGUCAUGCUAUGUUUCGAUCUGUAUCACAGAACUGACACUAUAGAAAAAUAAAGAUUGUACAUGCCAUGACUGUGCA
rnacentral:lncRNA from 1 species